GACGAACGCUGUCGGCGUGCUUAACACAUGCAAGUCGAACGGAAAGGCCCUGCUUUUGUGGGGUGCUCGAGUGGCGAACGGGUGAGUAACACGUGAGUAACCUGCCCUUGACUUUGGGAUAACUUCAGGAAACUGGGGCUAAUACCGGAUAGGAGCUCCUGCUGCAUGGUGGGGGUUGGAAAGUUUCGGCGGUUGGGGAUGGACUCGCGGCUUAUCAGCUUGUUGGUGGGGUAGUGGCUUACCAAGGCUUUGACGGGUAGCCGGCCUGAGAGGGUGACCGGCCACAUUGGGACUGAGAUACGGCCCAGACUCCUACGGGAGGCAGCAGUGGGGAAUAUUGCACAAUGGGCGGAAGCCUGAUGCAGCAACGCCGCGUGCGGGAUGACGGCCUUCGGGUGGUAAACCGCUUUCGCCUGUGACGAAGCGUGAGUGACGGUAAUGGGUAAAGAAGCACCGGCUAACUACGU
rnacentral:rRNA from 1 species